rnacentral:rRNA from 1 species
UGGGGAAUAUUGCACAAUGGACGCAAGCCUGAUGCAGCCAUGCCGCGUGUAUGAAGAAGGCCUUCGGGUUGUAAAGUACUUUCAGUCGGGAGGAAGGUGGUAAGGUUAAUAACCUUAUCAAUUGACGUUACCGACAGAAGAAGCACCGGCUAACUCCGUGCCAGCAGCCGCGGUAAUACGGAGGGUGCAAGCGUUAAUCGGAAUUACUGGGCGUAAAGCGCACGCAGGCGGUUGAUUGAGUCAGAUGUGAAAUCCCCGGGCUUAACCCGGGAAUUGCAUCUGAUACUGGUCAGCUAGAGUCUUGUAGAGGGGGGUAGAAUUCCAUGUGUAGCGGUGAAAUGCGUAGAGAUGUGGAGGAAUACCGGUGGCGAAGGCGGCCCCCUGGACAAAGACUGACGCUCAGGUGCGAAAGCGUGGGGAGCAAACAGG